rnacentral:rRNA from 1 species
UUCAACUUGAGAGUUUGAUCCUGGCUCAGAACGAACGCUGGCGGCAGGCUUAACACAUGCAAGUCGAGCGAGACCUUCGGGUCUAGCGGCGGACGGGUGAGUAACGCGUGGGAACGUGCCCUUCUCUACGGAAUAGCCCCGGGAAACUGGGAGUAAUACCGUAUACGCCCUUUGGGGGAAAGAUUUAUCGGAGAAGGAUCGGCCCGCGUUGGAUUAGGUAGUUGGUGGGGUAAUGGCCCACCAAGCCGACGAUCCAUAGCUGGUUUGAGAGGAUGAUCAGCCACACUGGGACUGAGACACGGCCCAGACUCCUACGGGAGGCAGCAGUGGGGAAUCUUAGACAAUGGGGGCAACCCUGAUCUAGCCAUGCCGCGUGAGUGAUGAAGGCCUUAGGGUUGUAAAGCUCUUUCAGCUGGGAAGAUAAUGACGGUACCAGCAGAAGAAGCCCCGGCUAACUCCGUGCCAGCAGCCGCGGUAAUACGGAGGGGGCUAGCGUUGUUCGGAAUUACUGGGCGUAAAGCGCACGUAGGCGGCUUUGUAAGUCAGAGGUGAAAGCCUGGAGCUCAA